rnacentral:rRNA from 1 species
AUUGAACGCUGGCGGCAUGCCUUACACAUGCAAGUCGAACGGCAGCACGGGUGCUUGCACCUGGUGGCGCGUGGCGAACGGGUGAGUAAUACAUCGGAACAUGUCCUGUCGUGGGGGAUAGCCCGGCGAAAGCCGGAUUAAUACCGCAUACGAUCCACGGCUGAAAGCGGGGGACCUUCGGGCCUCGCGCUUUAGGGUUGGCCGAUGGCUGAUUAGCUAGUUGGUGGGGUAAAGGCCUACCAAGGCGACGAUCAGUAGCUGGUCUGAGAGGACGACCAGCCACACUGGGACUGAGACACGGCCCAGACUCCUACGGGAGGCAGCAGUGGGGAAUUUUGGACAAUGGGCGAAAGCCUGAUCCAGCAAUGCCGCGUGUGUGAAGAAGGCCUUCGGGUUGUAAAGCACUUUUGUCCGGAAAGAAAUGCUGGACUCUAAUACAGUCGGGGGAUGACGGUACCGGAAGAAUAAGCACCGGCUAACUACGUG